UCCCCAAUAUAUUAUUACAUCCUUCCGGUAUAUCCUUCCUCGGAAUUAGUAAAUGCCCUAUGCAAGAUUGCACAGAAGAAAAGAGAAGGGCAUCCAUCAUACUGCUACAUCGACAGCCCAUGCAAAAUAUAUACAGGCAGUUUACCUGCAUAGCAAACAGCAACUGGGAAAACGUGCAAGAUGCAAUAAUAGCGCCCAUUUGGACAGAAUUAGAAAGAGUGAACUUCCUCGGAUUAAAAAUGUAACUCCAAAACAACUAUCCACUUUUCAGUUUUCUCAAUAUAAGCACAUUACCUCUAUUCUUGAAUAUCAACUAAAUUAG